rnacentral:rRNA from 1 species
CACGCCGUAAACGAUGGAUACUAGGUGUAGGAGGUAUCGACCCCUUCUGUGCCGUAGUUAACGCACUAAGUAUCCCGCCUGGGGAGUACGUGCACAAGCAUGAAACUCAAAGGAAUUGACGGGGACCCGCACAAGCAGCGGAGCAUGUGGUUUAAUUCGAAGCAACGCGAAGAACCUUACCAGGGCUUGACAUCCCGAUGACCGGUAUAGAGAUAUACCUUCUCUUCGGAGCAUUGGAGACAGGUGG